rnacentral:lncRNA from 1 species
AGAGGUUUUAGUAUAUUCGCAUACGGAUUUCUGUAUAUAGGUAUACUUGAACUAAAAUAUCCUUCUCCCUAAUACGGAGUGGUUCGUAAUUCGCAUUUGUUCUUGUAACCCAAUGUCCUACAUACGAUGGCAAAAAUCUAGAACCAACUUAACUGAGCGGACGAGCGUCGUGUUAGGGACAUUCCGAAAGUGAAUUCAAAACUCGUUCAAAUAUC